GUCCUCGUAGUUCAAUGGAUAGAACAAACCCCUCCUAAGGGUUAGAUCCAGAUUCGAUUUCUGGCGAGGACA
rnacentral:tRNA from 1 species